CGCGUGUGUGAAAAGGUCUUCGGAUUGUAAAGCACUUUAAGUUGGGAGGAAGGGCAGUAAGUUAAUACCUUGCUGUUUUGACGUUACCAACAGAAUAAGCACCGGCUAACUUCGUGCCAGCAGCCGCGGUAAUACGAAGGGUGCAAGCGUUAAUCGGAAUUACUGGGCGUAAAGCGCGCGUAGGUGGUUCAGCAAGUUGGAUGUGAAAUCCCCGGGCUCAACCUGGGAACUGCAUCCAAAACUACUGAGCUAGAGUACGGUAGAGGGUGGUGGAAUUUCCUGUGUAGCGGUGAAAUGCGUAGAUAUAGGAAGGAACACCAGUGGCGAAGGCGACCACCUGGACUGAUACUGACACUGAGGUGCGAAAGCGUGGGGAGCAAACA
rnacentral:rRNA from 1 species